CACGUAGGGGCGAGCGUUGUCCGGAAUUACUGGGCGUAAAGGGCGCGCAGGCUGUUAUGCGAGUCUGCUGUGAAAUGUACCGGCUCAACCGGUGCCUUGCGGCGGAUACUGCAUAGCUGGAGUACUGGAGAGGGAAGUGGAAUUCCCGGCGUAGCGGUGAAAUGCGUAGAUAUAUGGAGGAACACCAGUGGCGAAGGCGACUCUCUGGUCUGUAACUGACGCUGAGGCUCGAAAGCGUGGGGAGCAAACAGGAUUA
rnacentral:rRNA from 1 species